GACGAACGCUGGCGGCGUGCCUAACACAUGCAAGUCGAGCGGAGUUGGAAGAAGGUGCAGAGAUGCAGCGGGAGCCGACUUAGCGGCGAACGGGUGAGUAACACGUGGGCAAUCUGCCCUCUGGAGCGGGAUAACAGACCGAAAGGCCUGCUAAUACCGCAUGAGGCCUAAAUGUCGCAUGGCAAUUAGGUCAAAGGGGAAACCCGCCGGAGGAGGAGCCCGCGUCCCAUUAGCUAGUUGGCGGUGUAACUGACCACCAAGGCGAUGAUGGGUAGCCGGCCUGAGAGGGUGAACGGCCACAUUGGGACUGAGACACGGCCCAGACUCCUACGGGGGGCAGCAGUGAGGGAUUUUCGGCAAUGGGCGAAAGCCUGACCGAGCGACGCCGCGUGAGCGAAGA
rnacentral:rRNA from 1 species